AGCGAACGCUGGCGGCAGGCUUAACACAUGCAAGUCGAACGGGCACCUCGGUGCUAGUGGCAGACGGGUGAGUAACACGUGGGAACGUACCUUUCGGUUCGGAAUAAUCCAGGGAAACUUGGACUAAUACCGGAUACGCCCUUCGGGGGAAAGAUUCAUCGCCGAUAGAUCGGCCCGCGUCUGAUUAGCUAGUUGGUGAGGUAAUGGCUCACCAAGGCGACGAUCAGUAGCUGGUCUGAGAGGAUGAUCAGCCACAUUGGGACUGAGACACGGCCCAAACUCCUACGGGAGGCAGCAGUGGGGAAUAUUGGACAAUGGGCGCAAGCCUGAUCCAGCCAUGCCGCGUGAGUGAUGAAGGCCUUAGGGUUGUAAAGCUCUUUUGUCCGGGAAGAUAAUGACUGUACCGGAAGAAUAAGCCCCGGCUAACUUCGUG
rnacentral:rRNA from 1 species